rnacentral:misc_RNA from 1 species
AUUAAUUUCAGCCAAAUUUAUGCAUUUAGUCUUCUUCAUUGGCUAAAGCUGAGCACAUCAACGUGGUUUACCAUUUUCAAUGCCAAUGUGCAAGCGCAAAGCAAAAACAUGAUGAAAUGCAAGCACAAAGCCAAUGGUGCUGUUUCAACCAACAGAAGGCUAAAAAAUGACAACUUUCCCAUUAUUAUUUUGGUGAACAAUAGGAUCCAUCCAUCCAGAAUUAAGGGCUUUGGAUUACAUAACCUGAACAUGUAAAACUUGACUGUACAAACUCAAACAUCAUUCUUCUAUAUGCAGAACUAAAUUUCAAAUUAUUUGCAGACAUGAAUAUGGUAAUUCUGCUAUACCGGAGUAGCAUUUGAAGCUCGCCACUUCAUUUUGCUAGUUUAUUUGAUUCCUUAAAUAGAAAUAGAAAGCAGAAAUAAUCUGUGCAGAUAAAUAAGAAACAUCAAAUGAGCAGUUCAUGCACAGGCAACAUUGCUGCACUUCCAACGUUUACCAGAAAUCAUGCAUGCUUUAUUUGAAGAGCUGGACUAAUGGUAAGCAAACCAAAAAAGCAGUCUACAGGGACUCUGGUUCCCCAUGCAUUAAUGGACUCCAGUUUCCGGCAUUUAUUUACAAGUUUAAGAAGCCCAAUCGCAGUUACAUGACGGCAGCUCCACAAGCCAAUGCUCUGAAAAAGAACACAGUUUAUGAAAUUUAUCAUCCUAAUGGUGAAAUAUUGAUGUAUGCUGUAAAGAAACUAGAACUAGUGAUGCGUCUAUCCAAAUGAAAUUUAUCCUAACAGGGCAGUGUUCCAAGGAAACUGACCUUUAAAUUUGGACAGCUAUCUGCAAUAGCAAAUAAUGACUCAUCAGUAAUAAAUGUACCACCAAUAUUGAAGUGCUGCAGAGAAUUGGCUCUUGAUAUCAAUUGAACCACACCUUUGUCUGUGAUUCCUGCCACGCCCCAUAAGGAUAUGGAUGUCAGGUUGCUUAUGCACUUUGCCAUUGAUAUUUCAUACAAUCCAUUGUCAGUUAUCUGGCAACCCCAACAGCUCCUGGAACUGGAAAUAAAAAUGAGGAAGAAGUAUUUCAUGUGAUUGUCAAUGCAAGCACCAAACCACCAAUUACAUGUUUAAACAAUAGCGAAAGAUUAGACAUAAUUGCUACUGAUCAUGUAUGAACCCUCUGUGCAUUGAACUUUCUAACCAGCACAUGCAAUCAAUGCACGGACAAUUCAGAUCCUCAUUGUUGCAACUGUGGAUAGCAGGAAAAAAAAUAGAAAAUUUCACAGCAAUCUACUAGGAAAACAGGAAAUUGCAAAACAUAUAUAUUAACAAGAAUGUUCAGAAAAUUCACUACGUCAAUGAACAAUGAGUAUCAAAUUGUAAAGAUCAAAGCUUCCACGCUAGAAAUGCUCUGUUGUGUCUGUGAGAAACAUCAACAUGUCUAGACUAUGCAUUACUCUCAAUCAGCAAUUAAAAUUAAAAUGUCAAUGGUUCUCUACAAUUUCUACCCAUUUACAUGCAAUCAUUUGCAUAAAAUCGGUGCUCAUGCUUCAAGUAUUUAGCAAUUUGGCAUCACAUUGAUGCUUGAAAAUUAAACAGUUUUGGGGAAACAGAUAUUAAAAAUAAAACAUUGAAGGAACUCACUGAAGCAACCAAAUUUCAGCCAAAUAAAAUAGCUUUAAAUGGUAAUCAAAGGAAAUAGACAUGAAAAAACAGGAAGAAUACUGAUAAGCCUAUAUCUAGAAAUUACCCAACAAAUCAAUAAUGGGUAAAAACCCUCUUUCACCAUCCACCGACAAAUUCAUUGAAACAAACGGUUUCUCAAUCAGUGAUUGGCAAUUGAAGUAGAUAUACAGAAAUAACUAAUGUAUUACAAAAUCUUCAAGACAGAGAGAAAAAACAGAACAUACAUGUCGAGUUCUUUAAGGCUGUAAGCGUCGCCUACGAGACGGGAAGUGGAAUUAUCGUCUAUCUUCAACCCUGCAAAGCUCAAACUAUGUCUCCUGGCCAGAGACUGCUUCACCGCUUCUUUCCAGUUCCUGCAAACACUGCUGGCCUGGGCUAAAUCAGUGAAGGAAUUUAUGAAAACAAAGAUAUGAGCCAAGAGGUCAAUUGGUAAUCGAUCAAUCUCUGCUCCAUCCUCCAUGGAAACAAAGAAAAGGAGAGAAUUCUUUACGUAGAAAUGAAAUAGGUAGUACUUUUAUGCAGUUGAAUCUUGAGGAAGAAGGCGGGCCACGCUAGAAUCUUUCAAUUUUCAAGCUUUUAAUAAUAGAAAAAAGCAAGAAAGAGAAACGG